CCCAUAAAGGAUCCUGGUCCGGGAUGCGCAGCGGCUUACAAUGAGAAGAAUAUAACAAAUGGAUCCCAUGUGAAUAAUGUAACAAGACCUCUUUCCAUACACAGGAUAUGAAGCAUUAAAAGAAUAUAUGAAAUAGAAAAAGAAUCAGACACAUAGGCCGGCAUUUAUCAUUGUAGUAUGUUUCCUGUGUUCCCCACAUCUACCCUUCAUGGAUAAGUAGCCUGGAAAAGAUCAGAAAAAAAUUGCAACACCUGAAUUGCUGACACCAAAUGCUUAAUGAUAUGACAGUCCCCCGUGUGAGCGUGAAUGAUGGAGAUGUUCUGCAAACUUUGCAAGAAGUCCUCUGGAGCAGAUGGCACAGCAUGAACUUUAUACACUACUUUAAUGCACAAAAAAAUAAAUAGUACUACCA